AACACACACACACGCACUCACACACACAAAAACACACAAACCUUAAAAUUUAGUAUAGGAAAAUCAAGAGAAGACACUCCUGUUGACAUGCUCCAUGAAAAGAGGGAAAAAGUCCCUUUGAGUCUAAUCUGCUCGCCAGGUACCAUAUGUAGAUGCACAGAUAUGAUAGACAGGGAGAAUGCAUGUCAGUAAUAUGCUUGCCAGAUAAUCUAUAAUAUCUAUAAUAAUAAAAGCAUAAUAUGCUAAUUAGACCGGAUGGCCAAACAGCAGAAUGACUGUCCCUAUGACCUUCCGACCCUCCGGAUGAAGCCGGGCUGCAAGGGCCGAACCCCUUGCAUGAAUUUCAUGCAUCAUGGCCUCUAGUAUGUACAUAACACAAAUUGCUAUAGGUAACCACAUAGGCCAAUAUAAUACUUAAAGCACAACUUGUUUAAUCUAUAAAUAUUUGAUUCUUAAGUAAUCUAUAAAAUGCUUCUAAUGUUUUAAAAGACAAAACUUCACCAUGAUGUUAUGCCAGACAUUAAAGUUCUUCCCACAGCAACACUUACUUCAGAGAACUAAGUGAUAAGUCAAUUAUCUUCAUAACUGCUAAAGGCACAGAGUAAGAAAAGUGUCAAACAAAUUAUAAAUAUUAAAAAAUAAAGACACAUAUCUAGUACAGAGUUCAAACCUUUAUGUUCAAUUAAGUUACUUAAAUUAAAAAUACUGAUUUCCUGAAGUUGG